GGAGAGGUACCGAAGCGGUCAUAACGGAGCGGUCUUGAAAACCGUCGCACAGUAAUGUGUCGUGGGUUCGAAUCCCACCCUCUCCGCCA
rnacentral:tRNA from 1 species